rnacentral:pre_miRNA from 1 species
GUUUAUUUGUGUGUGGACGGUGUUCAGCACCAGGGACAGGUGUGUUUAUUUGUGUGUGGAUGGUGUUCAGCACCAAGGACAGGUGCUGUUUAUUU